rnacentral:misc_RNA from 1 species
UCCCAUACCAUUUCUGACUUCAACAGCAUCACCAAUUCAUUACAGCUAAUCAACAAAUGGUCCCCCAUGAGGACAAAAGCCUUCACACUACAGAGUAAGAAAAUUCCAGGUUAAUCCCCUGAUUUCCACUUGCUCACGAUAGCUGAGCAAAAUAAAAAAUUUAUGAAAUUAAGAAAUCAUCCUCUCGCAUAUCCGUUCUCCUCCUGGCCUGUACAGCUAGUCGAG